GACGAACUGUGCAAACGUUAUUCGGAAUCACUGGGCUUAAAGGGUGCGUAGGCGGUCUUGUAAGUCGGGUGUGAAAGCCCCCGGCUCAACCGGGGAACUGCGUCCUAAACUGCGAGGCUAGAGUGAGGUAGGGGUGUGUGGAACUUCCAGUGGAGCGGUGAAAUGUGUUGAUAUUGGAAGGAACGCCGGUGGCGAAAGCGACACACUGGACCUUGUCUGACGCUGAGGCACGAAAGCCAGGGGAGCAAACGGG
rnacentral:rRNA from 1 species